rnacentral:lncRNA from 1 species
GUUGAAUCACAAGAGCCCAAUAGCCACCAAUUCCUAGUUUAAUUAUGUCUAAAAUCCCUAAAUAUAAAAAAAAAUUAGAUCCAUUGAUCAACAGAUUCAAUGGCUCCUGUUCUAUCUCCCAUUUUUUACUCUCAGAAGCCCCAAAACCUAAAAUCAUUUAAUCUAGUCUUGCAGCCCCUCCAUUCCCCUUUCCUCCCUAUUGUCUCCAGGCCUGCAACCAUAUCAAUCCUCAAGAACUUGAACGAAUACGUGCAAGGUCGACAAAUCAACUACGAAAUUAUUUUAUCCGUCCUUGCUAGCUGUGAUUCUCGCUCAAAUCUUUCCUAUUUUGUUGUUUAAUGCAAAAUCCCAAAUAAAAUCCCUAGAUCUAAAAUGAUAACUUCGAAUUCAUACACUUUGGACCUGUACUUCAAAAUCGAAGGAGACAUGGAGGUAUUAACUGGAUUCAUUGUUGGUAUUCGAUAUCCAGUGGUCAAAUGCAAUGACCUCUAGACAUUAGGGUUUCGACCAGUGGCUUUUAAUUCUUCACCGGUCAAUCUCUCAUUUUUUUCAUGCCCAGGUUAUUUCUAUAUUUUCCCCCUCUACUUUUUUGAUUUUACAUGUCUUGCUUACAUCAUCCAAUCUUCGUAACUUUCCAUUACCUAUAAUCAAAUAUGUUGAGAUCCUAAGGAAUUAAAUGCCACUAUAAAUAGAGCCGUCAAUUCUCUCACCUAAAAAAACCAAACAAGACAAAAAGAACGAGCACAAUAUCAACAAUAAGAUUUCAUGUUUGAAUAUUUGGUUCCUGUAUGGCUAAGCAAAACUUUUGUUAAGCUUGCUGCUUGAAAGGGGGUCAGUGUACCCCGAUCUCUUCUCUUUUAAUAAUUUUAUUUGAAAGAUGACCUCACUGUAGUUUUUCUAUUAAUUGCCUUUGUUUAUGACAUCUGUUAUCAGUUUUUAUUGAUUGUUUUCUUGCUCAUAAUGAGUCGUUUAUGAUAGACUAUUUUGCUUUGAUAUUGUGUGUGUAGAAUUAGUAUUAAUUCUUUAUUAUGUGACCUUGAUAAACAUUAUUAUGAAUUAAAUAACUCAUACAAUUACGCUCAUAUGAUUAACUAAAGAUGCCUUACUGCCUUCCCAUACUUGUUCUGACUUCAAACCUCAUUGAUGCUCUUCUAUGGCCUUCAUGUAUACCCUAUUAAUUCUGUUUUAAUGUAGUUUGUUACUUUGUACUUGAGGUUAUAUAUUGUAUAAGCUCAACUAGAACAAAUACGAAUACUAAGGUUUAAUUUCCAGGCUGCUAUUUAGUUGAAGUAUAUCAGUUUAAUUACUUAGGAUGUCUUCUCUCUUCAAAUAAAUGUUUCUAUAGAGCUCUUGAAACUAACCGAAAGGUCUAUUAUAAUUUUUAUAACUGCUGAUCACAUCUGUAAGUCUCAUUGCAUAAGACAGUAACUUAAGGUAGCUAGGCUACAUUUUAAUGAAUUUCUGUAGUUAUUCUUAUGUGUAUUAUGUCAAUUGUUACUCACCAGUUUAAGUUAUCUCCUAGAAAUUUGACUACAGUUUUAUCUUUUGUGACUGGGCAUUAACUGUUAUGUUGGUAGGCUGAAUAGAACUUCAUCAUGUUUAGAUCAUCACUCAUAACCUGUACAACUAAAACUGGAUCUACUUAGUAUAUAGUAUCCAUUAUUCUGAGCUCCUUUUAUAUUAUUAUUGACUUGACUUCUUGUUUUUUGAAACCCAACCAUUGUAAUGUCAUAACCUUGGUUAGAACAUCCCAUGAAUAUACUUGAAUGCCAUCUCUUGAGGAUCCUGUACUCAUUUGAUUCUUCAGUACUUGUUUAUUUUCUUUCCAACACCAUGUACAUGUCUUUGUUAUCCUUAAAGAUUCAUUAAACCGUCAAGAGCAAGACAGACCUAGAAAAAGAAUUUUAGAUGAACUACCUGUUAUUACUGAUUGAGUUUAACAUCAUUCUUUGUCAUUGUGAAGUUGAAAAGCCUUAGGACUAAGUAGUCAGGUCUUGACCUUUAGAAUAAACAAAUCUUGUAACUUAAGGUUCGUUAAUACUCUUUUGGAGGCCUUAAUCUAGAAUAUUAACUACUGACUGUGUCGAUAAUCUUUAGAAGUCCUGGCCAGGUUAGUAGUUUCCAUCUCUGUUAAUAUUCUUGAUUGGCAACCCUGUUGACAUUCUUAAAAGUUCUGGUUAAGUUUAUAAGUCAGCUACCUUUGCUAAUUGUGCACGGUGAAAUCGAAGGACCAAUUUUUCAUUGACAAAGUGCUUCAGUGGGUCGUCCCGGAGGCUCGGUAUCUCAAGUCGGUCACUUCCCUCAAAAUCUGUCGAUACUCAGCCGAGGAUAAGACUGCCCGAAAACCUCGACGAACACGGGAAGUGUGACGACCCAAAGGGUCAUCACCGUAAUUCUCCCUUUUUUGCACUUCUGGAGCCUUGAAAGCCUCUUACUUCGUUGCCCUGGUUUGCGUGCGUAAUCCGGGCGCGAAGCCGAAAGACAUUGAUGUGAAAAUAUUGGAAUUUUGUGUUAAAAACUAAGAAUUUUGAUAGUGAUAUUGCUAUAGUUGAAUUUGGUCAACGUUAAACAGACCCGGAACCGUGAUGUGACGGUCCCGAAGGGUCCGUAAUGAAAUUUGGGACCCAGGCGUAUUCCCAGAAUCAAAAUCCGAGGUCCCUGGCCCGAGUACGGAGCUUUUUCGUGAAAUUGUUUUUUUGAAAAUGCUUAAGGAAAAAUGGAAAUGAAAAUUUGAUAAAAAAUGAUGGUAUCGUGCUCGCAUAUGGUUCCGACGCUUGGUACAAGUUUUAAAUUGGCGUUAAGAGCUAUCUGUAAAGUUUGUUUGAAAACAGAAUCCGUUUGAUGUGUUUCGGACUAAAGUCGAAUUAAAGUUGAAAGUUUAGAACUUUGGAAUGAAAAUCAUGAGUUUUGGAGGUUGAUUCUUUGAUUUGAUGUUAAUUUGGCGAUUUGAUCGCAUGAGUAAGUAUGUAGGAUGUUUUAGAUGUUGGGUGCAUGUUUUGGUUGGAGCCUCGAGGGCUCGGGUGAGUUUCAGAUAGGUGUUAGGCUCAUUUGAAAUGUUUUUAACUGUUGUGUCUCCAGUCUUCGCAAUUGCGAAGACUUGUUCGCAAAUGCGAACAUCCCCUGUUUGGCCCUGUCGUCGCAAAUGCGAUAUUCCCCCAUGGCAGUCAGAUUUUGCAAAUGCGAAGUCCAAUCUCGCAAAUGCGAGUUCUCCCUCUUCCUUGCCCAGUUCGCAAUUGCGAACUAUUUCUCGCAAUUACGAUGUCCCCUUCAUUUCUCCCCAGUUCGAUCUGCACCUUUGCAACUGAUACUUACACGAAUUCAAACAUCACUUUUCAUAUUUUUCAAAACCCAAAACCACCAUAGGUGAUUUCUCCCGAACUCUUUCGUCCCCAAACCAAAUGUAAGUUAUUUUUUACUAGUUUUCUUCAAUCUUUAUCAUCUUCUAACAUGAUUUCACCCUUAAAUCAAAGCGUUCAUGGUUAAAAAUGGAGGAUUUGGGGUAGAACCUAUGUUUUCAUAAAUUGGAGAUUUGGACCACAAUUUGAGGUCCGAUUUCAAAACAAAUUGCAUAUAUGAACUCGAGGGGAAUGGGUAACCCGGUUUUGGUUCGAACCUCGAGUUUUGACCACGUGGCAUGGGGAUAUUUUUGGAAUUUUUGAGUAAAACUUUGUGAAUUUCAUUCUUACGCAUUUAAAUUGAUUUAACUAGAAUUUGUUGAUACAUUUGAGUAAAUUGUGGUUAGAUUCAACCGGUUUUGAAGAGAAUUCGAGGGGUAAAGUUAUUCUAGAAGCGUGAGUUGAGUUGGAAGCUUUCGAGGUAAGUGUUUGAUCUAGCUUUGGCUUGAGGGAAUAGGAUUAGAGUAUUUGAUUACUAUUUGCUAAAUGAUCGAGUACGGCGUAUAGGCAUGGUGACGAGUAUCGAUACACCUGUGUCAAGUAUGACCGUGAGUCGUAAUUGCCUUAGAAUUCGAAAGAUGUGAAAUAAUUGAGUUAUUUCGCCACUGAAUAAAUUAUGAAAUGAUUGUUGAAAGGUAAAUAUUCCAAAGAAGGAAGUGUGGUACUUUUCCCUUGCUAGGACGAGUAAGUUAUUAUUAUUAAGUCUUUCCUUGCCGGGAUAUUUUGGGUUGUAGCUGUACCCUUGCCGGGUUUAACUGUUGUGUGGAUGAACUUCCCUUAUAGGGCAUCUUUUGAUGAGAUUGUUGAUGUUAUAUAUUGUAUAAGCUCAACUAGAACAUAUACGAAUACUAAGGUUUAAUUUCGAGGCUGCUAUUUAGUUGAAGUAUAUCAGUUUAAUUACUUAGGAUGUCUUCUCUCUUCAAAUAAAUGUUUCUAUAGAGCCUAACGAAAGGUCUAUUAUAUUUUUAUAACUGCUGAUCACAUCUGUAAGUCUCAUUGCAUAAGACAGUACCUUAAGGUAGCUAGGCUACAUUUUAAUGAAUUUCUGUAGUUAUUCUUAUGUGUAUUAUGUCAAUUGUUACUCACCAGUUUAAGUUAUCUCCUAGAAAUUUGACUACAGUUUUAUCUUUUGUGACUGGGCAUUAACUGUUAUGUUGGUAGGCUGAAUAGAACUUCAUCAUGUUUAGAUCAUCACUCAUAACCUGUACAACUAAAACUGGAUCUACUUAGUAUAUAGUAUCCAUUAUUCUGAGCUCCUUUUAUAUUAUUAUUGACUUGACUUCUUGUUUUUUGAAACCCAACCAUUGUAAUGUCAUAACCUUGGUUAGAACAUCCCAUGAAUAUACUUGAAUGCCAUCUCUUGAGGAUCCUGUACUCAUUUGAGUCUGUAACCUCAUAACCUUGGUUAGAACAUCCCAUGAAUAUACUUGAAUGCCAUCUCUUGAGGAUCCUGUACUCAUUUGAUUCUUCAGUACUUGUUUAUUUUCUUUCCAACACCAUGUACAUGUCUUUGUUAUCCUUAAAGAUUCAUUAAACCGUCAAGAGCAAGACAGACCUAGAAAAAGAAUUUUAGAUGAACUACCUGUUAUUACUGAUUGAGUUUAACAUCAUUCUUUGUCAUUGUGAAGUUGAAAAGCCUUAGGACUAAGUAGUCAGGUCUUGACCUUUAGAAUAAACAAAUCUUGUAACUUAAGGUUCGUUAAUACUCUUUUGGAGGCCUUAUGUGAAGUUUAUAAGCCUUAGGACUAAGUAGUCAGGUCUUGACCUUUAGAAUAAACAAAUCUUGUAGCUUAAGGUUCGUUAAUACUCUUUUGGAGGCCUUAAUCUAGAAUAUUAACUAGUGGCUGUGUCUAUUAUCUUUAGAAGUCCCGGCCAGGUUAGUAGUUUGCAUCUCUGUUAAUAUUCUUGAUUGGCAACCCUGUUGACAUUCUUAGAAGUUCUGGUUAAGUUUUAUAAGUCAGUGACCUUUGCUAAUUGCGCACGGCGAAAUCGAAGGACCAACUUUUCAUUGACAAAGUCCUUCAAUGGUUCGCCCCGGAGGCUCGGGAUCUCAAGUCGGUCACUUCCCUUAAGAUCUGCCUAUACUCAGCCGAGGAUCGGCCAAAAACCUCGACGAACACGAAAAGUGUGACGACCUAAAGGAUCGUCACCGUAAUUCUCCCUAUUGUUGCACUUCUAAGGCCUUGAAAACCUUUUAUUUGAUUGAUUCGAUUUGCCUGCGCAGUCCGGGCGCGAAGCCGGAAGAUUUUUAUGUGAAAAUAUUGGAAUUCUGUGUUAAAAAAUAAGAAUUUUUAUAGUGAUAUUGCUGUAGUUGACAUUGGUCAACGUUUUGGUAAACGGAAUCGGAUCUGUGGUGUGACAGUCCCGGAGGGUCCGUAAUGAAAUUUGGGACCCACGCGUAUUCUCAGAAUCGAAAUUCGAGGUCCCAGGCUCGAGUACAGAGCUUUUCUGUGAAAUUUUUUUUUUUGAAAAUACUUAAGGAAAAAUGGAAAUGAAAAUUUCAUCAAAUGUGAUAGUAUCGUACUCGUAUUUUGGUUCUGACGCCCGGUACAAGUCUUAAAUGGGUGUUAAGCGCUAUUUGUAAAGUUUCUUUGAAAACGGACGCUGUUUGAUGUGUUUCGGACUAAAAGUCGAAAAUAAAUUGAAAGUUUAGAACUUUGGAAUGAAAAUCAUGAGUUUUGGAGGUUGAUUCUAUGAUUUUGAUGUUAAUUUAGCGAUUUGAUUGCACAAGUAAGUCUGUAGGAUGUAUCAGAAGUUGGGUUCAUGUUUUGGUUGGAGCCGCGAGGGCUUGAGUGAGUUUCGAAUAGGUGUUAGGCUCAUUUGAAAUGUUUUUAACUAUUGGUGUCUCCAGUCUUCCCAAUUGCAAAGACUUGUUUUCAAAUGUGAAUAUCCCCUGUUUGGUCCUGUCAUCGCAAAUGCGAUGUUUCUCUCGCAAAUGCGAUAUUCCCCCCAUGGCAGCCAGACUUUGCAAAUGCGAAGUCCAAUAUCGCAAAUGCGAGUUCUCCCUUUUCCUUGACCAGUUCGCAAUUGCGAACUAUUUCUCGCAAUCAUGAAGUCCCCUUCAUUUCUCCCCAGUUCGCAAAUGCGCUGUUAAUAUCACAUUUGCGACAUCUGCACCCCUGCAAGUGAUACUUAGACGAAUAUAAACAUCUCUUUUCAUAUUUUUCAAAACCCAACACCACCAUAGACGAUUUCUCCCGAACCUAUUCGUCCCCAAACCAAAUGUAAGUCAAUUUUUACUAGUUUUCUUCAAUCUUUAUCAUCUUCUUACGUGAUUUCACCCUUAUUCAAAGGUUUCAUGGUUAAAAAUGGGGGAUUUGGGGGAGAACCUAGGUUUUCAUAUAUUGGGGAUUUAGACCUCAAUUUGAUUACUAUUUGCUAAAUGAUCGAGUAUGGUGUAUAGGCAUGGUAACGAGUAUUUAUGUACCGGUGUCAAGCAUGGCCGUGAGUCGUAAUUGACUUAGAAUUCGAAAGAUGUGAAAUAAUUGAGUUAUUUGGCCGCUAAAUAAAUUAUGAAAUGAUUGUUGAAAGGUAAAUAAGCCAAAGAAGAAAGUGUGGUACUUUUCCCUUGCCAGGAAGAGUAAGGUGUUAUUAAUAAAUCCUCCCUUGCCGGGAUAUUUUGGGCUGUAGCUGUACCCUUGCUGGGUUUAAGUGUUGUGUGGAUGAACUUCCCUAAUGGGGCCUCUUUUUAAAAGAUUGUUGGAGUUAUCUAAUUAUAAAAAUGGGAUCGUGUGGCGCGCCGUCCACUGUAGAUGAGAAGAUCAUGAAAAGUUGAGAUAGAGUUAUUGUUAUUACUGAUGUUUUAUCUUUACUUUGUAUCCCCACCCCCCCAGUUUUAAGCGUAUUAUGUUGUUAUUGUUUCUUUCUCGAAUUUGUAUAUCAAUACUGCAUAGGUUAUUUGUUGUAGGUCAUGUCUAGCCUCGUGACUACUUCGCCGGGGUUAGGCCAGACACUUACCAGCACAUGGGGUCGGUUGUGCUGAUAGUACGCUUCUGUGCCUUUUUGUGCACUGGUCAAGACGCAGCUUACGGACCGCAGCAGUAGUCAGGGGGCAAUCCAUAAUUUCAGAGACUCUGAGGUAGUUUGCUGGCGUUCGGGAGCACUGAGUCUCCUCUAUGUUUUCUAGUUUGUUUUAUUUGUAUGAAACAGAUAUGAUGUAUUUCUUUCAGACUAUUAUUUUUCGUACUCUUUAGUUGUCCGUGAGCAGUGACACCAGAUACUGGGUAGAGACAUGUUAGUUUUUCCGCACCUUGUUUUCAUUACUGUUGUUAAAAGGCUUCCGCAUGUUUCAAUUAAUUAUUCUCGUAUUUAACUUGUUUUAGAUUAAGUUUGUGAAAAUGAUUAUAAGGGUUGGCUAGCCUAGCUUCGACAGUAGGCUCCAUCACGACUCCUGAUGGUGGAUACAUUCGGGUCAUGGCAAAGUUGGUAUCAGAGUACUAGGUUACUUGGGUCUCACAACUCACAGACAAGCUCGGUAGAGUCUGAGGGAUCGGUACGGAGACGUCUGCAUUCAUCCCCCAGAGGCUACAAAGUUAGGAAAAGUUUCACUUCCUUCAUUCUUGUUGUGCGAUUCUAUUUCUCAAAUAUUGAUUUUCGUUCUACUCUGUUCUUUCGCAGAUGGCGAGAACACGUGCAUCUUCUUCUUACGCGCAGCAGCCUGAGCCCCCAGUAGCAGCCCCCGUGAGGGGCAGGGGCAGAGCUCAACCUCAGGCAGCAGUUCCCGAGGUGGAGCCUCAUAUUGACUUUGAUGAGGAGGUUCCAGCUCCACAAGCUCCAGUGGGCCCAGCUUAGGUCCCAGGAGGAGUGAUGUUUUCUUCGGAUCUUCAGGAUGCUCNNNN